AUCGCUGGGCGCGUGGUCUGCGGCCCCACCAUCUUAAGGAGAAACUGAGGCCCGGAGGAGGACGGGGAGAGCCGGCGGAGGUCAGCCCGGAUUCCGGGCCCGGCUCCUGGCUCCGUGUCCGGCCCCUCCGCCGGGUGCGGAUCUCUCGGGAGGCGGGUCCUCGAGAAAGGGGCCCCGGGUCCGAUCCCCCGCCCUCAGCCCGCCCGCGGGGAAGACUCCGGUCGCGCUAACGACCAGCAGCGGGUCCGGCGACGCGCGGGCCGCGCAGCCGCUUGUGUUCCCGGGCCCGAGGGGCGCCCCGGACCCCGCGGUUUUCACGCACUCACCCACCCCCGGCUCCGGGCCUUGAGUCCCCCAGAGCCGUUCAUCGGUUGCCUACGGAGUGACCUGAGGAGUGUGAACCCGUUUUGGCGUCACCUGUCUUUAACGGAGUGUGAAAGCCCGGGUUGUGCAGAGCGGUUGUCUUGAGCUUUCAGGCCGUGCGGGCUCUGCGGCUCUCUUGGGAGCAGAUGGAGACUGUCCCUUGGACGGCUUUGCGGGCCGUGCCGCAGGCAGCAGCCCUUUCUGCCCUGCAGGACCCUGAUCCGCAGCUCCUGAUGCCGCCCUUGUGUGCAGGGGUGAGGCCUGCUGGGAGUGUCUUGUGACUGCUGUUCCACGGAUGUGAGAGGCGACCUCAGGGAGAACUUGAUCAGGAGGUCCCAGGUGGGUCUGUGUGUGCAGAGGCUCCAUGGGAGGUGUCAUUUUACCAGCCUGCGGUAGGCUGUGGGGCCCGAGGUGGCAGACUUCCUAGCCUGCUUUCUGGCUCACGUCUGUGAGGGUAUUGUUGCUGACUGGGCGCUCGGUGCGGUCAUCCAUCCGCAGCAGGCUGACUGGCUGCCUUCUGUGCUGUGCACCUGCCGAUGAGUUCCGGAAGCAGAAACCCCGCAGUGGUGUCUUCACUCUCUGGACUCAGACAGCCUGCUGGUGCCCCUGAGAGAUCAGCCUGGUGCUCCUGAGAGAGACAGCUUGGUGCCCCUGAGAGGAAUGUCUUGGCUCCCAGGUCAGCCUUAGAUCAGGAGCUGUUGAAGUAAGUCCCAAGGCCAUGAGUCAGGGACCCUCGGGAUGACUUGGGAUCUGGGUUUGCUGAUAUGUCUCCCCAAGAUUCUCUUGGUGUUAGUGGACAGCAGAGGAACAGAGGAUGGUGAGGGAGUCCCUGCAGAAGGCAUCCCCAGAGCACCUCCUGCUGUGACACAGAGCAUCAUGGAUCAACUCUUCACUCCACAUAGGGGAUCAGAGGGAAAGCGCUGGGGCUGGGGUCCACGUCAGCUGGCUGAGUCUUGACAACAGUGCCCUGAGAAGCCAUGGACAGGGAAGGCCAGGCCCCGUGUCCCUCUGCUGUGCCUGGAAUGAUCUUAAUGACCAAGACUUUUUCUCUUGUAUUGCAGCUGCUCAUCACUUUACUCUCUGCCCACCAUUCAGUAAACCUUACAGACUCGCUGUGCCUGACUUUUAAGUCCAUAACAAGCCAUGUGCCACGUGGAGAAGUGGAUCACAGGCCAGUCUUGUUUUCACCCCCUGAGCCUCUCCUGUCAUGCUCCUGGGGCUCGGCACACAGGCUGUAGUUGCAUUAGGACUGAGACGGUAGGUGGCUCAGAUUCAGGGCCCAUGAAAGAAUCGAAGGUUCGAGGAAUAGUCAGGCCAGGGCUUUGAAGGGUGGCUGGUGACAGUGGGCUGGAGUGAGGCAGGCACUGAUGUCCCUGAGGAAGCUGGGUUGGCCCGAGUUCUGGCUCCUGGCUCAUGAGUAAAUGCCUGCUUUUGUGGUCAACCGACCUGGUUUGCCUGGGAUUGAGGGGUUUCCCAGGACAUGGGACUUGAUUGUUAAAUCCAGAAAAGUCCUGGGCAAACUGGAAGGAGUUGGUCAUCUUAACCUCGGGAGUCAAAUACAUGAUGUCAGCCUGAGAGGACAGGUUACUGAGUAAAGGCGGGAGGGAGCAGGGUGAAGGUGGAGCAGCCACUGUUGGUGGAACUUGUGGCUAUCCUCAAGGUCAGGCUUUUGGAGAUAAUUGUGGUAAGUCAAUAAUAGCAGUAAUGUGAUUAUGGUCUAAGGAUGUGCAUGUGUGAACUUUUUAAUUCCCAUAUUAUAGAUGGAUGGGUCUCUGUGAGGAAAUAGGUCCCAAAGACCAUGAUGAAAGGCUGGAGUUAAUUGUCCAAUUUCUGCACUUGAACUUGCCUUGAUGAAUUUGACACCUUGAUGGGCUCCUUUUCAGGGGCAGGCAGGUGUUCUUCAUGGCUGAAGUGUUCACUCUGCCAGCCAGUUCCUGACACAGGCAUCCAGAAGUCAGAAGUGUUUUUUUUUUUUUUUUUUUUUUUUGGUCUUCCCUGCGGACUGUCUUGACUUUUUUUUAGCAGCCUUUAGUCAGCUGGUUGUGGCUGCAUGAAAAAACGCCAAGGGAAGGAUCUGGGUCCACCUGAGAAAGCUGUGACUGGUUGGGAAUGUGUGCUGCCGUGGAGGAACAGAAGAAUGUGGGCCAGUACUUAAAAAGUGUGCAUGGAGACACUUGGCGUGUCCCACCGGGCACCAGGUCAUGCCCGCCUCACAUGCGGCAUGGGAAGCAUGAGCCAUGUCAAGUGUUGCGGGCCUGAGGAAAUCUGAGAAGAGCAUUCCAACCAACGUGACCUAGGAACCAGGCUUUAGGUCAUGGAGCUAUGAUCCUUGCUGGGAGACGUACAAGCUUCCUGGAGGGCCUGGUGGAGCAGGGGGUGGGAGAUUUCCAUAGCAGAACUGAGAGCUAGAAGUAUGGAGAGCUGGUCAGAGUGAAGGUCCGUCCAUUAAAAAGAAAAAGCAUUUAUUUAUGAGCCAGGCACCAUGUGCUUAGAAGUAGGGGUAUAAUGGGAAAUAGCAUAGUUUGUGGACUUAGGUAUUCCUGAAAUGUCUAGAUAAUAAUGUUUAUGUGCUGAAUGUCUAUGGAACAUGCAUUUAUGUUGGGCACUGCUGUAGGUGUUGGGGAUACUGCUCCAAACAAAACAGGAGGCCUCAGCUUAUUUAGAACUACAGUCCAUUAUGGUAAUGUAAAGUUCACAUCUUCACUUGCACAAGCUGUAUUUCAAGUGCUUGGUAGCCACAAGUGGCUGUCAUGUUGGGUAGUGCAGGUAUCGAAGACUUUUUCUAUCACAAGAAGUGUGGUGUUGAAAACCCACGGGCCCCAAAGUGGUAUUACUUAGGCCAAGUCCCCAAACCCGGGCAUAAUACCUAAUCUAAUUGCAGUUUCAACUUCCCCCAGAAAUGUAGUCUUUCCUGGUCAGUCACAAGUUCUCUGAUGGGUGCCAAGGAGUCUUCCACAGGGGCCCUCUCCAUCCCCAAAGGAGGAUGGAGUAAUCUACCUGAUUAGACCCCCCUCCUGUUUCCCCUAAGGGAAAGCCUUGCCUGGAACAAUUUUCUUUUGCAAAUAACUUUCUUGCCCCACCUCCCUUCCCUAGAAACCUUUCUGUUCAAUCUCUUGGAGCUCCCCUCUGCUUGUUGGAUGGGAUGCUGCCUGAUUCAUGAAUUGUUUAAUAAAGCCAACUAGAUCUUCAGAUUUACCUGGUUGAAUUUUGUUU